AUUGAACGCUGGCGGCAUGCCUUACACAUGCAAGUCGAACGGCAGCACGGGAGCAAUCCUGGUGGCGAGUGGCGAACGGGUGAGUAAUAUAUCGGAACGUGCCCAGUCGUGGGGAUAACGUAGCGAAAGCUACGCUAAUACCGCAUACGAUCUAUGGAUGAAAGCGGGGGAUCGCAAGACCUCGCGCGAUUGGAGCGGCCGAUAUCAGAUUAGGUAGUUGGUGAGGUAAAGGCUCACCAAGCCGACGAUCUGUAGCUGGUCUGAGAGGACGACCAGCCACACUGGGACUGAGACACGGCCCAGACUCCUACGGGAGGCAGCAGUGGGGAAUUUUGGACAAUGGGCGCAAGCCUGAUCCAGCAAUGCCGCGUGCA
rnacentral:rRNA from 1 species